GACGAACGCUGGCGGCGUGCUUAACACAUGCAAGUCGAACGGAAAGGCCUGCUUUCCCUUGUGGAUUGCGGGUACUCGCGUGGCGAACGGGUGAGUAACACGUGAGUGAUCUGCCCCCAACUUGGGUAUAAGCCUGGGAAACUGGGUCUAAUUCCCGAUAGGACUGCAGGGUGGUGCCUGUGGUGGAAAACGAUUUUCUAGUGGUUGGGGAUGAGCUCGCGGCCUAUCAGCUUGUUGGUGGGGUAAUGGCCUACCAAGGCGGCGACGGGUAGCCGGCCGGGGAGGGUGGACGGCCACAUUGGGACGGAGACACGGCCCAGACUCCUACGGGAGGCAGCAGUGGGGAAGAUUGCACGAGGGGCGGAAGCCUGAGGCAGCGACGCUGCGUGGGGGAUGACGGCCUUCGGGUGGUAAACUCCUUUCGACCGCGAGGAAGCCACCUGGUUGGAAGGGUGGUGACGGUAGUGGUAGAAGAAGCACCGGCUAACUACGUG
rnacentral:rRNA from 1 species